rnacentral:rRNA from 1 species
AUUGAACGCUGGCGGCAUGCCUUACACAUGCAAGUCGAACGGCAGCGGGCCUUCGGGUGCCGGCGAGUGGCGAACGGGUGAGUAAUGCAUCGGAACGUGCCAUUGAGUGGGGGGAUAACGUAGCGAAAGUUGCGCUAAUACCGCAUAUUCUGUGAGCAGGAAAGCAGGGGACCGCAAGGCCUUGCGCUCUUUGAGCGGCCGAUGUCAGAUUAGCUAGUUGGUGAGGUAAAGGCUUACCAAGGCGACGAUCUGUAGCGGGUCUGAGAGGAUGAUCCGCCACACUGGAACUGAGACACGGUCCAGACUCCUACGGGAGGCAGCAGUGGGGAAUUUUGGACAAUGGGGGCAACCCUGAUCCAGCCAUGCCGCGUGAGUGAAGAAGGCCUUCGGGUUGUAAAGACUCUUUCGGUCCGGGAAGAAAUCGCAUGGGUGAAUACCCUGUGUGGAUGACGGUACCGGAACGAAGAAG